UAAAGAUUCAUCGCUGAUAGAUAGGCAUGCGUUCCAUUAGGCAGUUGGCGGGGUAACGGCCCACCAAACCGACGAUGGAUAGGGGUUCUGAGAGGAAGGUCCCCCACAUUGGUACUGAGACACGGACCAGACUCCUACGGGAGGCAGCAGUGAGGAAUAUUGGUCAAUGGGCGUAAGCCUGAACCAGCCAAGUCGCGUGAGGGAUGAAGGUUCUAUGGAUCGUAAACCUCUUUUAUAAGGGAAUAAAGUGCGGGACGUGUCCCGUUUUGUAUGUACCUUAUGAAUAAGGAUCGGCUAACUCCGUGCCAGCAGCCGCGGUAAUACGGAGGAUCCGAGCGUUAUCCGGAUUUAUUGGGUUUAAAGGGUGCGUAGGCGGCCUUUUAAGUCAGCGGUGAAAGUCUGUGGCUCAACCAUAGAAUUGCCGUUGAAACUGGGAGGCUUGAGUAUGUUUGAGGCAGGCGGAAUGCGUGGUGUAGCGGUGAAAUGCUUAGAUAUCGCGCAGAACCCCGAUUGCGAAGGCAGCCUGCCAAGCCAUGACUGACGCUGAUGCACGAAAGCGUGGGGAUCAAACAGGAUUAGAUACCCUGGUAGUCCACGCAGUAAACGAUGAUCACUAGCUGUUUGCGAUACACAGUAA
rnacentral:rRNA from 1 species